rnacentral:ncRNA from 1 species
UGAGCGUGGGCUAUAGACGUGCCACAUAUGCCUUUACAAAGGGAAGCGAGAUUGUGAAAUGGAGCUAAUCCUCAAAAUUGGACAUAAUUAUUCGUGAAUUGUAGUCUGAAACUCGACUACAUGAAUAUGGAAUUACUAGUAAUCGUGUAUCAUCACGUCACGGUGAAUUUAAUCUCAGUUGGGUACUAACCACUCGUCAGGCGCUGAAAGGGGUAUGCGCAA